UAGAGGUUCCGAAUGAAUCAUGGCUGACUGUGUUGCCCCUGUUCAUUACCUAAUGUGAAAUUCUAUAUUAGAAGGUGCAUUAUCCCAUGAAGGCUAAGAGGGUCAUCUUAACAAACAAGACAUAUGACAAUGAUUAUAAUUUCAGCUUCAAAAACCAAGGUUGAGAACAUUAAAAUUUUAGAAAGUUUUGCAACUAUCUGAAAAUUUGAAACCAACAAAGGCCUGUCAGGAAACCUACUAAUUGAUUGAUAAUUACCAUUAGUUACAUAGGUAAAUCAUAGUCAACCCCCAUUCUCAUUUAGAACAAGGGAACUAGAAGAAUGGAACUGGUCCUACUGUAAACACCACAAUUAGAAUUGGAAGACAUAAUUUUCUCUUGCAGAAGAAAGACAAAAUCAAUGUUAAGCCAUCCUAGGCUUAUGAUGAAGAAUAUAUAGUAUAGCACCGGCCAUUGAAACUAUACGGUAUAUUGGUCCAAUCUAUACGCUUAAAAUCCUAGUGCUUUAAGCACUUGUUUGUUGUACAUACUGUUCUGCUAUAAAGUUUGCAUAUUAAAGAUUGAGAAACUCAUCUAUUUAAUUAGCUACAAUGUUCUUGUUGUCGACCAACUUGUUACAGUGCCACAUACUGUGUGCUUAGUCAUUGUCUGUUGCAUUAGUCAUUAUCUCUAUGGCACCAUUACCUUACAGUUCAUCUCAUUUUCUUCUCCACUGCAAGAUAUUCUGAUGUUAAUUAGAUCGGUGUACACACACUAAUGCAAACAUAUAUUUGCCAAUCCGUUAUUGGCUAUUACAUCCUAUACUCCCAUCUCCCGGAACAAUAAGGGCAUGCGCUAAAGCAUAAUGCACCAAGCUUUAUAAGCCUAGAAAGAGGUUAUUUGGCUUCGACAAGACAAUGCCUAAUCAUGGAGAUGGGUGUACUCAUCCACAAGCUUACUCCUCUUCAUUAUGAAAUUAGAGUGCCAGCCAGAUAGUGAUAUAGUAUUUUUCAAGCAUAACAAGCACGCCAAGAUAGACUGUUAUAACACUAGCAUUAUCCUUGCAGGAAUGAUGACCUUGCUCAUUUUCUAUACAUAAAUUGUUGCCUAUCAAUGAGUCUCAUUUCCUACUCCACAACCACAAAGUCUCAUAUAUACAAUCCAUUACUAAUUGCAGGCUGGAAUUUCUAUUAACAACCAAAUAUCAAACUCAGUCAAACUCAAGCAGCCUAACUUUAGUUGAUUUCCUAAACAUCUCUCAAUCGGUCUAGUUACUCAUUAACAAAUUCUACAGUUAUUUGUAGUACCAAUGCACUUGAACAAUUAAAAAAACAUAAACAGUAGAAUUUGUUGAGUGUGAUCUAAUUAAGAAAAAAUUGGUAUUACAAAUUAAUUUUUUUCAAAAACACAACACAUUCAAUGAGGUUCAGUGUUCCAUAUCCUCCAUGUUUGCAUGUACCUUUCUUACCAAUUAGGCAUCCUUGGAAUUAUUUAUUGUUUCGCUAUCACAAAUAAGCACAUGACUUGAUCAAUAUGACUCAUUCCAAGAUUAGCAAUAUUGAGAUAUUAUUUUUCUGAUUAAUGACUAUUAAUAGUUCAACAUUCAGAUUACAUUUAUCAAAAACAAUAUCAACUCUGAAUGAUAAAUUUAUGAAAAAAAAUAAUAUCAACCAAUAACUUACAUUUAUCUCCAUUUUUCCUACCAUUAUAUUUGGCAUGCAUCAGAAACACAAACAUACAAAGCUGUCUCCUCUUAGUAUGAUUAACAAAGAAUAUACUUAUAUACCCUUUUUACUAUAUCAAUGGCAUAUAAGGCACAGACAAUCUUAAAGACUUAUAUCCUAAAGGUGUCAUAUUCCAACACUGCCAUAAUCAACUAUGAUUUUAUACAAGGGCUUGUAUCACACCAAAAGUUAAAAAAGAAAUCAAGCAUUUUUGAACCUAAAUCAAAUAUCUAUCAAAACUAAAUAUAUUAAGACCCAAGUAUAUAGAUGUGUGAGCUGCUGCAAAACAAAGAUGUAAACUUAAGAAAAAUUUAUGUCUUGCACAAAAUCUUAUCAACAAACUCAAGAAUGAAUCGAAAAAUUGAAUCAAAAAGAUGUGAGAUAGAAGGUGAAUGUAGAGUAGUUAGAACUUAGAAGAGCUCUUUUUUCAACAUUGGUGAGAUUAAAAGGCAAACAAGGAAAAUGAAAUCAAGGAAAUUGGAAUAUAAACAAUAUAUGAAAAUCAUGAAAAAGCUAAAUAGUAGAUGUCACAGCAUUAAAUAUUAUACAUCCGACCGAAACGAGAAAGUUCUGAAUUUGUGAAAGUGAUUUGCUUUGCUUCUCUAGUAAGCAGAUGUAAUUCAAAUUUUUUAUGAAUUUAAAUUUUAAAUGCAUUAAAACCAGAAACCUGGCAUUUUACUAUCACUUUCAAGUUCGAAAGAGUCAAACUACAACAACUUACAUGUUGUCUUAGCAAGGACCUCAAACCACUAGUAGACUGUGAAAGGAAGGCACUACAUGACCGCUUCUUCUUUCCCAAUAAGUUGCCACCAAGGAACAAUGCCACAAAUUGUGAAGUAUUUACUGCAUAGUUGCCAAAGAACCAUAACUGAAAAUAUACAAUAAGCAAUUACAAAGCAACUGAUGAUUGUUAUAUAGCUAAAAGAAGUUAGAUGUAAGUGAAUGAUUAAGCAAGAAAUAACUAGUUUGCA
rnacentral:lncRNA from 1 species